rnacentral:rRNA from 1 species
GCGUGCCUAAUACAUGCAAGUCGAGCGAACAGACGAGGAGCUUGCUCCUCUGACGUUAGCGGCGGACGGGUGAGUAACACGUGGAUAACCUACCUAUAAGACUGGGAUAACUUCGGGAAACCGGAGCUAAUACCGGAUAAUAUAUUGAACCGCAUGGUUCAAUAGUGAAAGACGGUUUUGCUGUCACUUAUAGAUGGAUCCGCGCCGCAUUAGCUAGUUGGUAAGGUAACGGCUUACCAAGGCAACGAUGCGUAGCCGACCUGAGAGGGUGAUCGGCCACACUGGAACUGAGACACGGUCCAGACUCCUACGGGAGGCAGCAGUAGGGAAUCUUCCGCAAUGGGCGAAAGCCUGACGGAGCAACGCCGCGUGAGUGAUGAAGGUCUUCGGAUCGUAAAACUCUGUUAUUAGGGAAGAACAAAUGUGUAAGUAACUAUGCACGUCUUGACGGUACCUAAUCAGAAAGCCACGGCUAACUACGUGCCAGCAGCCGCGGUAAUACGUAGGUGGCAAGCGUUAUCCGGAAUUAUUGGGCGUAAAGCGCGCGUAGGCGGUUUUUUAAGUCUGAUGUGAAAGCCCACGGCUCAACCGUGGAGGGUCAUUGGAAACUGGAAAACUUGAGUGCAGAAGAGGAAAGUGGAAUUCCAUGUGUAGCGGUGAAAUGCGCAGAGAUAUGGGAGGAACACCAGUGGCG